rnacentral:rRNA from 1 species
UUGCUCCUACGGGACGCAGCAGUAGGGAAUCUUCCACAAUGGACGAAAGUCUGAUGGAGCAACGCCGCGUGAGUGAAGAAGGGUUUCGGCUCGUAAAACUCUGUUGGUAGUGAAGAAAGAUAGAGGUAGUAACUGGCCUUUAUUUGACGGUAAUUACUUAGAAAGUCACGGCUAACUACGUGCCAGCAGCCGCGGUAAUACGUAGGGGGCAAGCGUUAUCCGGAUUUACUGGGGGUAAAGGGAGCGUAGACGGCAGCGAAA